ACUCUGGGUAGCUCAGUCUGUAGAGCAUGAGACUCUUAAUUUCAGGGUUGUGGGUUUGAGCCCAGUGUUGGGCA
rnacentral:tRNA from 1 species